rnacentral:rRNA from 1 species
GACGAACCUUGCUAACGUUAUUCGGAAUUACUGGGCUUAAAGGGUGCGUAGGCGGGCUGUCAAGUCUGGGGUGAAAUGCCGCGGCUCAACCGUGGAACUGCCUUAGAUACUGACGGCCUCGAGGAAGGUAGGGGCAUGCGGAACUGUAGGUGGAGCGGUGAAAUGCGUUGAUAUCUACAGGAACGCCGGUGGCGAAAGCGGCGUGCUGGACCUUUUCUGACGCUGAGGCGCGAAAGCUAGGGGAGCAAACGGG